AUGAUACCUGGCAACUUGCCUUUGCACACAUUCCUUCUCGUGGUCAUGGGUGAUUGGCCUUCAUCGUCCCCAAAUCCCGGGCACACGGCCCGGGGCUCCCACCACCCAGAGGAACCCUGCGAGCCGGCCACACAGCCUGCCUUGGAUCCGGACGGAUGUGCUAGGAGCCUCUUUAUUUUGUUUUACCAGCUGCCUGUGGUAGUUCAGGCAUUCUCUCUCUCUCUCUCUCUCCUCUCUCUCUCUCCUCUCUCUCUCUCUCUCCUCUCUCUCUCUCUCCUCUCUCUCUCUCCUCUCUCUCUCUCCUCUCUCUCUCUCCUCUCUCUCUCUCCUCUCUCUCUCUCCUCUCUCUCUCUCCUCUCUCUCUCUCUCCUCUCUCUCUCUCCUCUCUCUCUCUCCUCUCUCUCUCUCUCCUCUCUCUCUCUCUCUCUCUCCUCUCUCUCUCUCUCUCUCUCUCUCCUCUCUCUCUCUCCUCUCUCUCUCUCUCUCUCCUCUCUCUCUCUCUCUCUCUCUCCUCUCUCUCUCUCCUCUCUCUCUCUCUCUCUCUCCUCUCUCUCUCUCUCUCCUCUCUCUCUCUCCUCUCUCUCUCUCUCCUCUCUCUCUCUCUCUCUCCUCUCUCUCUCUCUCCUCUCUCUCUCUCUCCUCUCUCUCUCUCUCUCUCCUCUCUCUCUCUCCUCUCUCUCUCUCUCUCUCCUCUCUCUCUCUCUCCUCUCUCUCUCUCUCUCUCUCUCUCUCUCUCUCCUCUCUCUCUCUCUCUCUCUCUCUCCUCUCUCUCUCUCUCCUCUCUCUCUCUCCUCUCUCUCUCUCCUCUCUCUCUCUCUCUCUCCUCUCUCUCUCUCUCUCUCUCUCCUCUCUCUCUCUCCUCUCUCUCUCUCUCUCUCCUCUCUCUCUCUCCUCUCUCUCUCUCCUCUCUCUCUCUCUCUCUCUCCUCUCUCUCUCUCCUCUCUCUCUCUCCUCUCUCUCUCUCCUCUCUCUCUCUCUCUCCUCUCUCUCUCUCCUCUCUCUCUCUCCUCUCUCUCUCUCCUCUCUCUCUCUCCUCUCUCUCUCUCUCUCUCUCCUCUCUCUCUCUCCUCUCUCUCUCUCUCUCUCUCUCUCUCCUCUCUCUCUCUCCUCUCUCUCUCUCUCUCUCUCUCUCUCUCUCUCUCUCUCUCUCUCUCUCUCUCUCUCUCUUUCUCCCUCAUACCCAAGCACCCCGGCCAAUGA
rnacentral:lncRNA from 1 species